rnacentral:rRNA from 1 species
GACGAAAGUCUGAUGGAGCAACGCCGCGUGAGCGAAGAAGGCCUUCGGGUCGUAAAGCUCUGUUGUUAGGGAAGAACAAGUAUCGGAGUAACUGCCGGUACCUUGACGGUACCUAACCAGAAAGCCACGGCUAACUACGUGCCAGCAGCCGCGGUAAUACGUAGGUGGCAAGCGUUGUCCGGAAUUAUUGGGCGUAAAGCGCGCGCAGGCGGUCCUUUAAGUCUGAUGUGAAAGCCCACGGCUCAACCGUGGAGGGUCAUUGGAAACUGGGGGACUUGAGUGCAGAAGAGGAAAGCGGAAUUCCACGUGUAGCGGUGAAAUGCGUAGAGAUGUGGAGGAACACCAGUGGCGAAGGCGGCUUUCUGGUCUGUAACUGACGCUGAGGCGCGAAAGCGUGGGGAGCAAACAGGAUUAGAUACCCUGGUAGUCCACGCCGUAAACGAUGAGUGCUAAGUGUUAGGGGGUUUCCGCCCCUUAGUGCUGCAGCUAACGCAUUAAGCACUCCGCCUGGGGAGUACGG